rnacentral:rRNA from 1 species
CCGGUUUCGGCCGGGGAUUAGUGGCGAACGGGUGAGUAACACGUGGGCAAUCUGCCCUGCACUCUGGGACAAGCCCUGGAAACGGGGUCUAAUACCGGAUACUGACCUUCACGGGCAUCCGUGGGGGUCGAAAGCUCCGGCGGUGCAGGAUGAGCCCGCGGCCUAUCAGCUUGUUGGUGAGGUAAUGGCUCACCAAGGCGACGACGGGUAGCCGGCCUGAGAGGGCGACCGGCCACACUGGGACUGAGACACGGCCCAGACUCCUACGGGAGGCAGCAGUGGGGAAUAUUGCACAAUGGGCGGAAGCCUGAUGCAGCGACGCCGCGUGAGGGAUGACGGCCUUCGGGUUGUAAACCUCUUUCAGCAGGGAAGAAGCGAAAGUGACGGUACCUGCAGAAGAAGCGCCGGCUAACUACGUGCCAGCAGCCGCGGUAAUACGUAGGGCGCAAGCGUUGUCCGGAAUUAUUGGGCGUAAAGAGCUCGUAGGCGGCUUGUCGCGUCGGUUGUGAAAGCCCGGGGCUUAACCCCGGGUCUGCAGUCGAUACGGGCAGGCUAGAGUUCGGUAGGGGAGAUCGGAAUUCCUGGUGUAGCGGUGAAAUGCGCAGAUAUCAGGAGGAACACCGGUGGCGAAGGCGGAUCUCUGGGCCGAUACUGACGCUGAGGAGCGAAAGCGUGGGGAGCGAACAGGAUUAGAUACCCUGGUAGUCCACGCCGUAAACGGUGGGCACUAGGUGUGGGCAACAUUCCACGUUGUCCGUGCCGCAGCUAACGCAUUAAGUGCCCCGCCUGGGGAGUACGGCCGCAAGGCUAAAACUCAAAGGAUUGACGGGGGCCCGCACAAGCG